UACAGAGGGUGCGAGCGUUGUUCGGAAUUACUGGGCGUAAAGCGCGCGCAGGCGGCCUUUUAAGUCUGACGGUGAAAUGCCGGGGCUCAACCCCGUUGCAUGCCGCGGAUACUGGGAGGCUGGAGACAAGUAGAGGCAAGCGGAAUUCCGGGUGUAGCGGUGGAAUGCGCAGAUAUCAGGAGGAACACCUAUAGCGAAGGCAGCUUGCUGGGACGUUACUGACGCUAAGGCGCGAAAGCGUGGGGAGCGAACAGG
rnacentral:rRNA from 1 species